AUGGUGGUCAGGUACCAAAAAUCGACCCUUUUCAGCGACGAGACGAAGCCGCCGAGGAGGACGACGGUGGCCCACAAAAGCAACAGGGCCCCGAUAGAUUUCAGGGCAAAUCUAAUGUACGCUACAGUGAGCGCAUACUUGUUGAUGAUCCUUACUUCUGGCCGCCGUCGAAGCUCCUCCUCUGAGAAAGCCUCAAGUUCAUCGCCCAUGCCUGGAUCGGAGUUGCCACUUCUCGUUCCGACCCACCCAUCGCUCGCGCAACCUUAUCUCCCCAACAGCCACUCGUUUUUCCUUUCGUCUCCUUCGUCUCCUACCUAUGUCGCCUCUGUUAUCCCCAACCUCUUCCUCUCGGCUCUCUCUCCCAUAAGGCCGGCCACCACAAAGAGGUCGGCAUCGUUCGGAGCUCUCUCCACCUUAUCUCCCCAACAGCCGCUCUCUCUUUUGUAUCCCCCACUUUCUCCCCCGGUGACGAAACAUCGAGACCGCAUCGGCCACCGACGAUGCAAGGAGGACGAAGCACGGCUUCUUCCCAUCCCGGCCACCGGCGCUGCAAAGAGCGCGGGCUGCUCCUUCGGUGGGCGGUGGAGCUACAACUCAACGGGCGUGCCGCUGCACGGCGACGGCGGAGCUGCAACGUGGGUGGUGAGCGGAGGAGCUGCAACGCAACGGCCAUGGUGUUGCGCGUCGGCGGCGGAGACGCAGGGCAACGACCAUGGUGUUGUGUGCCGUCGGCGGAGCUACAGUGCAUGUUGGCGUGCUGUUUGGAACGCCCGUCGUGCUGCGACCCGGGUCUCACCGCCGGUGGAGCUGCAUAGCAACACGCAUGGUGCUGCGAGUCUGCGACACAGGUUCGUCAUAGGAUUUCGCUGGUGGCAUCGAGGACCGUUGCACCGAAACUCCGGCGGCGUCGAGGACCGCUGCAUCGCAGCUUCGACGGUAGCUGCAUUGCAGCUCCGGCGGCGUCGAGGAACGCUGCAUCGCAGCUCCGGCGGCGGCGGCGGCUGCUGCAUCGUAGCUCCGGCGGCCUCGCAGCUCCGGCGGCGACGCGUCCGCUGCGUCGCAGCUCCGGCGGCGGCUGCUGCUGCAUCGCAACUCCGGCGGCCUUGCUGCAUCGCAGCUCCGGCGGCCUUGCUAUAUCGCAGCUCGGGCGGUGACGUCCAUUUACAACGCAGCUCCGACGAACUUGUUGUACCGCAGCUCGAGUGGCGUCGUGGCCGUUGCAUGGCAACCGCUGCCUCCAUGCUGAUGGGCGUGCUUGGAGCGUCACUCUUGGGCGCUGCAUGGCGAGACAAAAUGAACGGCUAUUAUAUGCACAAUCGGACGGUUAUUAAGGCGGCUUAUAUUUGGAUGCUAUGGGCCGGCUUACGCCUAGCAUCGGUCCUGAUUUUUCUUUGGCUUCGUCCGUGGAACGGUAGUGAUGGUGGGACGGCGGAUUUGUGGUUUCUCUUCAGUUUGCUAGUCAAACCGUCAACUGGUUUCUGCUCGAGCAUCUACAGCCAGGCACCCAAACCUGCCUCAAACACUCGGACCGAGAUCGGUUAUAAAAAUGCAACCCAUACGGGCUUCUCAAACGGGUCACAAACAGCGCCCGGGUGCGCCUGCCACGUUGGACUAACGAUAAGGUCCCACACGGAAUCGCCAAAAAUCCGAUGGUUCGACGGGCAUCUCCUCCGGUGGGGGUGUAAACGCCGCGUGGCGCCGCUCAGGCUUGCUGCCCGAUGCCAAAUUCGGCUAUUUAAGUCGGUCGGCGUCCCCCAACGGCCUAACCCAUCCACCUUCUCCCUCUCCGCGUCGCCAGCCCGAACACAUCCACCUCGUCCCUCCCGCUCCGCCACUCUUCCCACGCUCUCCGACAGGAAUGGGCGGCGACCGACGCGCUCUUCAAUGAGGAUGAGGGUGUCAGAGUUCGCCAAUCUCGAUUUUGAGCACAUGGUGAUCCUAUCCAACUUUCAGAGCAUAAUCCGGCGAUGUUUGAGGAUUUCAUACAAAUGCAUAAACAGAUUCGCCGUCGAUCAACUCGUGAGCAACUUCAGAAUGAUCCGGCUGUGGGCACUUCGAGAAUUGAACUAA
rnacentral:rRNA from 1 species